GGGCGACGGUAGACGGCUGUCCACAGAGGACUGUCCGCACUGGGUUCUGCCCGGAGCAUGGGGGCCUCGCGCCUCGGCCUCGGCCUGUCUGCUCCCGGGGCUGCCUGCGGGACGCCGUUGCCGCUCCCGCUCCCGUCUCCCUUCAGGAGGGCCAAGGGCCUCGCGCGCGGGUGGGCAGCACGGGAUGCGGCUCGCUCUGUGCACUGGCAGGCCUCGCUUCCAUGGAUACCGCGGCUGUGCUGCGUGUGCACGACUUCACACGGCCCCUCGGCGCAGUGACAGUUGAGGAGGAGCCUUGGGAUGUUCCCUUGACCUGCUGUUGAGUGUCUGACUGGUUUGAGGUGUGAGCCCGGCACCGCCCUUGGGGAUUCGCUUCUACCUGGUGUGUUAGCGCGCGAAGCGAGUGGCCACCCUCAACCCGAAGGUCGAGCAGAAAGCCACCAGCCCUGAGAAGAUGGGUCUCCUCUGAGAUGAUGGCUUGACGGCCCUUUGAGACAGAUGCCACAGUGUCUUUCUCAUUUCCCCAAACAUCCUGGUUUCUCCUCCGGGCCCACAGGAGGGAAGAAGGAGGAGGAGAGUGAGACGUGAAGGAAGCGUCUGGAGGAGAAGGACCCAGGAAACGGAUUCUUGGCAACGUCCUCCAUCGGAUAAGCAUCAUCGGGAGCGCCUGUGGAGAGAGCCCCUGCUGCUGUUGUCUGGAGCUCGUGUUCUCGUGGUGGCUUUGAGAUUUCUGCCAUGAAUGAAGCGCUCUGAUACCAUCUCAGAUACGAG
ensembl:lncRNA